rnacentral:rRNA from 1 species
UGGGGAAUAUUGGACAAUGGGCGAAAGCCUGAUCCAGCCAUGCCGCGUGUGUGACGAAGGUCUUCGGAUUGUAAAGCACUUUAAGUUGGGAGGAAGGGCAGUAAGCGAAUACCUUGCUGUUUUGACGUUACCGACAGAAUAAGCACCGGCUAACUCUGUGCCAGCAGCCGCGGUAAUACAGAUGGUGCAAGCGUUAAUCGGAAUUACUGGGCGUAAAGCGCGCGUAGGUGGUUCGUUAAGUUGAAUGUGAAAGCCCCGGGCUCAACCUGGGAACUGCAUCCAAAACUGGCGAGCUAGAGUAGGGCAGAGGGUGGUGGAAUUUCCUGUGUAGCGGUGAAAUGCGUAGAUAUAGGAAGGAACACCAGUGGCGAAGGCGACCACCUGGGCUCAUACUGACACUGAGGUGCGAAAGCGUGGGGAGCAAACAGG